rnacentral:rRNA from 1 species
UACAGAGGGGGCAAGCGUUAUUCGGAAUUAUUGGGCGUAAAGGGCGCGUAGGCGGCCUGGCAAGUGGAUGGUGAAAUCCCUCGGCUUAACCGAGGAACUGCCAUCCAGACUGCUUGGCUUGAGACCGGGAGAGGUGAGUGGAAUUGCGAGUGUAGAGGUGAAAUUCGUAGAUAUUCGCAAGAACACCAGUGGCGAAGGCGGCUCACUGGCCCGGAACUGACGCUGAGAUGCGAAAGCGUGGGGAGCAAACAGG